AGAUAACACCCGAACCUUGCUGCCGAGGUGAGAUAAAGCGCAGGGAAAGUCUACAAUACGUUCCCGUAAAGGCGCAAAGGGGUGAACUGUGGCUAACCGUUGGGCCUUCAUUGAACAGGCACAAGCAGCUUUCGGCUUCAAAUCCAUGUAAAGGUCGACAGCAGUGGCCCCGGCUAUUAAGGUGACUAGAACAAACAGGAAUGUUCUGCACAAGAGAGACACGAUCCCUAUAAUUCCUGGAGUGCAUUGUUGUAAGCGUUUGUCUAUUCCCAAAGCACGAGUAGAGACAGCUACUUGAGAGCCCGCGACGAGAAUCUGGUUUUCGUCCGAAUCUCUGGUUCUGAAAGUCGAAUUUGGGGUCGAACCAAACACCAAGGAAGUGCCGUCUGUUUGUCAGCAGGCGUACGAUCUCUGGGAAGGCAGUCGCGUGCUUGGGGUUUUGAUGCCAUGUCUUCAAAUCAUCAAGACUUCCUUUUCGAGUCUUCCCUGGCUUUGCUGACUGUGGCUACUGAUGCUGUCUUGCCGAGUAGCUCAUGCUAAAAAAUAAAGGAAUUCAGGGUCCGAUGAUAACAUCUAUACUCUAGUGGUCUCCGACCACAACAGAUUCACGCUCUCACCAGUAGGGCACAAUCGCACGCAUACUUCUCUCGUGCU